rnacentral:tRNA from 1 species
GCCGCCAUGGUGGAACUGGCAGACACAUGGGACUUAAAAUCCCCCGGAGUAACAUCCGUACCGGUUCAAGUCCGGUUGGCGGCA